rnacentral:rRNA from 1 species
UACGUAGGGUGCGAGCGUUAAUCGGAAUUACUGGGCGUAAAGUGUGCGCAGGCGGCCGAGCAAGUCGAGUGUGAAAGCCCCGAGCUUAACUUGGGAACUGCGCCCGAAACUACUUGGCUAGAGUGUGGCAGAGGGAGGUGGAAUUCCACGUGUAGCGGUGAAAUGCGUAGAGAUGUGGAGGAACACCGAUGGCGAAGGCAGCCUCCUGGGCCAACACUGACGCUCAUGCACGAAAGCGUGGGGAGCAAACAGG